rnacentral:rRNA from 1 species
AUUGAACGCUGGCGGCAUGCCUAACACAUGCAAGUCGAACGGAGAUAGGGGCAACCUUAUUUCAGUGGCGGACGGGUGAGGAAUGCGUCGGAAUCUGCCCUAUGGUGGGGGAUAACACAGGGAAACUUGUGCUAAUACCGCAUAAUGUCGAGAGACCAAAGCAGGGGACCGCAAGGCCUUGCGCGAUAGGAUGAGCCGACGCCCGUAUUAGCUUGUUGGUAGGUAAUGGCCUACCAAGGCGACGGUCGGUAGCGUGGUCUGAGAGGAUGAUCAGCCACACGUGGGACUGAGACACGGCCCAGACUCCGUACGGGAGGCAGC